GCACCCAAGCAGGACCUGCUGAACCUGGGGCCCUACAGGAGAGCACUGAUGGCCCACCCCUGAAAGUGGUCCUGGUCUUCAUGUCUGCAUCAGCCUCAGCCAUCUCAAGACCACAACGGAAACAUAGCCAAGUUAGAGAAGACAGACCAACAGCACCGGAGCCCUUCAUAUUAUUAAGCUGCUAAAUUAACCAAUCUUGGAAACUUCUAGACUCAACAAUUCUUGUGGUAUGAGAGUGGAUUGACAAUUAUUCUCUGGACUUUUUGGUAACCAAGAACUUCUAGCAACUAACCCUGGCAUGACCACCAGAAUCUGCAGGGCUGAGAGAAGGAAAGAAAGGCAAAAGUGGACGAAUGAAGCUGAAGAUGCUAUGGAACUCCUAUCACAUUCCAAGUGCUGUGUUGAUAUCUGGAGAUACAGACAAGAUCAAAGCAGAUGCAGAGUCUUUCACAUGAAUAUGUGAAUCAGUUAAUGGAAUGGCUUCAAUAAUACAGUAAAAUGAAGAUAUUCAAACAAGCAGGAGGCAGGUGAAGACUAUUGGCCUCAGGAUGCAGGUGAAGAGUAUUGGCCUCAGCUUCAGAGACCAGAGGUUAAAUCUCAAUGCUGCCACAAAAGGGUUCAUGGAAGUCAGUAAACAAUGCUUUUUUUAUUAUUGUUAUGAAGAUACAGUGCGUGGAUCCCUCUCAAUUGUCUAUUCUUCUGUGUCACAAAAAUUUGCCUGCUUUUUGUUACCAUGUGAGAAGCAAAUGAAUUGAACUAAAUGGUUUCUAAUGCCUUGUCCACUUCUAAAAUUCUAUGGAACUGUGAUUUCAUUCCAAUGGGCCGUAUCAGGACUUGGCAUUAUUUUCAUCAGUGAACCAUUUCAUUAGAAUUUUUUUUUUUCGAAAUGAUAUUAGUAAAUAUUGAAGGAGGCUUCUCUCACAGAGCUUCUUGUAAAAAUUAAAACAGGGCGGUAGAAGGUU